rnacentral:piRNA from 1 species
GCAAAUCGCAGAACUGGAGAGUCUGAAGG